CGGAGUUCAGAAAGAUUUCCCGAUUUUUCUAUAGUAUUCUCAGGNAGAGUACUUAGUUUGAGGUAUGGUGCUACUUUUCUUGUUUGCAUGUUAUAAAUAGAAGAAUUAAAAGAAGCUGGGUUAGCUUGAUUCUUGGAUGUUCGCAAACGAUCACCAUGAUGAGGCUAAAGAAGAAGUUUUCCAUAUUCCCGGCGGAAGUUGAAAGAGAGUCCUAUAGCUCAGUUGGUUAGAGCGCUACACUGAUAAUGUAGAGGUCGGCAGUUCAACUUUGCCUGGGACUACUUAAGGGAUAAUAUGGGGGAUUAGCUCAGCUGGCUAGAGCACCUGCUUUGCAAGCAGGGGGUCAACGGUUCGAAUCCGUUAUUCUCCACAUUGAUUAUCAGAGCCUAUAUUUGGGAAUUGAUAAGAAUGAGAUCUUUGACAUUGAUGGACAAAACAAAGUAAAGACUUCGUGUUGAAGUAAUAUGGGGAAAAGUAUCCUCAAGAGGAUAUUCUACUCAAGAUAGCUUCAAUGCAAAGGAGACUAAGAGAAAUUAAGGUGAAAAUCGAAAAGAAGAGCCUAUAGUUAAGACGGNAUUGUACGUUCA
rnacentral:tRNA from 1 species